GAUCAUGGCUCAGGACGAACGCUGGCGGCGUGCCUAACACAUGCAAGUCGAGCGAGAAAUUUUUUAACGGAUUCCUUCGGGGGGAAGGAUAAGGAUGGAAAGCGGCGGACGGGUGAGUAACGCGUGAGUAACCUGCCUUUAGGAGGGGGACAACAUUCCGAAAGGGAUGCUAAUACCGCAUAAAAUUAUUGUAUCGCAUGGUAUGAUAAUCAAAGAUUUAUUCGCCUAAAGAAUGGACUCGCGUCCGAUUAGCUAGUUGGG
rnacentral:rRNA from 1 species